UGGAAGAGAGAAACACGUUGAUUGAUAGCUUCCUGCACGAGCCCAGACCCAGGGCCCAGGCUGGGGAGGAGCCUGCAGCCGAGAGCCAAUCUGAUGAAGCCUCGCCUCCUGCCAGCACUGGACACCACAUCCCACCCUGGGCUGGAAACUGGAUACUGCUGUUGCUGGAAUAAAUUCUGUUUUCCUG